rnacentral:rRNA from 1 species
UACAGAGGUCCCGAGCGUUGUUCGGAUUCAUUGGGCGUAAAGGGUGCGUAGGCGGUCUGCUAAGUUUGGUGUGAAAUCCCGGGGCUCAACCCUGGAAUGGCAUUGAAUACUGGCGGACUAGAGUACCGGAGAGGAAACUGGAAUUUACGGUGUAGCAGUGAAAUGCGUAGAGAUCGUAAGGAAGACCAGUGGCGAAGGCGAGUUUCUGGACGGUAACUGACGCUGAGGCACGAAAGCGUGGGGAGCAAACAGG